GUGCACAUUUCAUUGUCUUUUUUUAUUUACAUCAAGAAAAAGAUAUUUCUGAUGUGCUAAACAAAUCAUUGGAGGUAAAUUAGCAGCAUGACUAAUUCAGCCAUCGCUGUCAGUCACCUUCAGACAGUG
ensembl:snoRNA Gm54606 predicted gene, 54606